CUACGGGCGGCUCCAGUGGGGAAUAUUGGACAAUGGGGGAAACCCUGAUCCAGCAAUGCCGCGUGUGUGAAGAAGGCCUGCGGGUUGUAAAGCACUUUCGGUUGGGAGGACUGCUUCUAGCACUAAUAUUGUUGGAAGUUGACGUUACCUUCAGAAGAAGCACCGGCUAACUCCGUGCCAGCAGCCGCGGUAAUACGGAGGGGCAAGCGUUAAUCGGAAUUACUGGGCGUAAAGCGCGCGUAGGCGGCUAGAUCAGUCGGGUGUGAAAGCCCCGGGCUUAACCUGGGAACUGCAUCCGAUACUGUCUAGCUUGAGUACAGGAGAGGAGAGUGGAAUUCCACAUGUAGCGGUGACAUGCGUAGAUAUGUGGAGGAACACCAAUGGCGAAGGCAGCUCUCUGGCCUGAUACUGACGCUGAGGUGCGAAAGCGUGGGGAGCAAACAGGAUUAGAUACCCGUGUAGUC
rnacentral:rRNA from 1 species